UGUGAAAACCUGGCAACCCUGGUGAGCAGGAAGCCUGCACGCAUUGCAUUGAUCGCUCGCGGAGCGUAGACGGAGUAACGCGCUUCUAAUGCUGGGCCGCCGUCCGAAGCAAGGCCUUCCUCAGCGCGGAGCUCUCACCGAACCCCGGCCGGAACCGAGCCGAGCCACGGAGGACUCAUAAACAGCGGCCCGCGUAGGAGAGAGAGCGACAGAGACACACACACACACACACACAGAGAGAGAGAGAGAGAGACACUGUCCAAGCGUUCAGAGCCAUGAGAGAAUACAAAGUGGUCGUGUUGGGAUCCGGUGGCGUGGGAAAAUCGGCGCUGACCGUGCAGUUCGUCACCGGAUCCUUCAUCGAGAAGUACGACCCGACGAUAGAGGACUUCUACCGCAAGGAGAUCGAGGUGGACUCGUCGCCGUCGGUGCUGGAGAUCCUGGACACGGCGGGCACCGAGCAGUUCGCCUCUAUGCGCGAUCUGUACAUCAAGAACGGCCAGGGCUUCAUCCUCGUGUACAGUCUGGUCAACCAGCAGAGCUUCCAGGACAUCAAGCCCAUGCGCGACCAGAUCAUCCGCGUCAAGCGCUACGAGCGCGUGCCCAUGAUCCUGGUGGGCAACAAGGUGGAUCUGGAGGGCGAGAGGGAGGUGUCUUCCGGGGAGGGCAAGGCGCUGGCGGACGACUGGAACUGUCCGUUCAUGGAGACCUCGGCCAAAAACAAAGGCUCCGUGGACGAGCUGUUCGCGGAGAUCGUGCGGCAGAUGAACUACGCGUCGGCGCCGAGCGGAGAUGACCAGUGCUGCGCGUCCUGCGCGAUCCUCUGAGAACCGCGCGCGACGUCUGGGUUCUCCUGCGCGUUUGUUGCCAUGGUGAGUGAGUGAGUGAGUGCGCGCGCGAGCGGAGAACGAGGACAGAACACACCGCAGACAGACAGACAUCGCUUGAGAGUCGCGACCGACUUACGACUGUAACAAACUGACAGAACUAUCCUUAAAGGGCCAGCUCUCCCAGAAUGAAAGUUCUGUUAGACUGAAGACACACUGGGUGUGUGGCAGGAUUUCUGUAGUGUUGAGCGACGCGUCUCCUCGGGAGGAAGAGGAGGACUCUGGGACAGCGGAUCACUCUUCAGGACUCGCAGCACAUCAUUGAUGUCAACACAAGUGUCUUGCACUCGCUACUGGAACUCAACCCCGAGAACGUGAAAAACCAAGACACGGGAGGAAUUUAAAAUGACAAUGUUUUGCUCGUGGACUUGGAAACCCUUGUUGUGAAUCGUUUUGCUUUUCAUUCGCUGGAUUGAAACAACUUUCUCGUGCCCCCCCAACACACACACACACACACACACACACACAUCCGCACGAGGACUUCACUGUUUUGACGCGAGGACGUCUGAGCUUAUGCGUCGAGUGCCUUCCAAAAAACUGAAUUUAGUGCCAACCUGCAAGGAGUCUCGGUUGAUGGCAGUCCACACAGUUCUUAACUGUUCCUGAUGGUUUCGGGGGUUAGCGAUGUUUCAGAGGCCUGUCGUCAACAGAACCUCUGUUCUCUUUGUUUUGUUUUGAGUGAACAAUCUUUCUGGCUUUUUUCUCCAAUACACAGGUACUGAAGCCCCCAGACUCCAACCACAAACCACUGUCUGUUCGACAUCAGAUCUUUUGUUA